rnacentral:rRNA from 1 species
UGAACGCUGGCGGCGUGCCUAAUACAUGCAAGUCGAGCGAACAGACGAGGAGCUUGCUCCUCUGACGUUAGCGGCGGACGGGUGAGUAACACGUGGAUAACCUACCUAUAAGACUGGGAUAACUUCGGGAAACCGGAGCUAAUACCGGAUAAUAUAUUGAACCGCAUGGUUCAAUAGUGAAAGACGGUUUUGCUGUCACUUAUAGAUGGAUCCGCGCCGCAUUAGCUAGUUGGUAAGGUAACGGCUUACCAAGGCAACGAUGCGUAGCCGACCUGAAAGGGUGAUCGGCCACACUGGAACUGAGACACGGUCCAGACUCCUACGGGAGGCAGCAGUAGGGAAUCUUCCGCAAUGGGCGAAAGCCUGACGGAGCAACGCCGCGUGAGUGAUGAAGGUCUUCGGAUCGUAAAACUCUGUUAUUAGGGAAGAACAAAUGUGUAAGUAACUAUGCACGUCUUGACGGUACCUAAUCAGAAAGCCACGGCUAACUACGUG